AGAGUUUGAUCCUGGCUCAGGAUGAACGCUAGCGGCAGGCCUAAUACAUGCAAGUCGAGGGGUAAGGCUCACUUCGGUGGGUACACGACCGGCGCACGGGUGCGUAACGCGUAUGCAACCUACCUAUAACUGGAGGAUAGCCCCGAGAAAUCGGGAUUAAUACUCCAUAACAACAUUUUUUGGCAUCAUUAGAUGUUUAAAGCUCCGGCGGUUAUAGAUGGGCAUGCGUGACAUUAGUUUGUUGGUGAGGUAACGGCUCACCAAGACUACGAUGUCUAGGGGUUCUGAGAGGAAGAUCCCCCACACUGGUACUGAGACACGGACCAGACUCCUACGGGAGGCAGCAGUAAGGAAUAUUGCGCAAUGGAGGAAACUCUGACGCAGCCAUGCCGCGUGAAGGAUGAAGGCCUUAUGGGUCGUAAACUUCUUUUAUCAGGGAAUAAACCCUCGCUCGUGAGCGAGGCUGAAGGUACCUGAAGAAUAAGCACCGGCUAACUCCGUGCCAGCAGCCGCGGUAAUACGGAGGGUGCAAGCGUUAUCCGGAUUCAUUGGGUUUAAAGGGUGCGCAGGCGGACUUUUAAGUCAGUGGUGAAAUCCCGGGGCUCAACCCCGGAACUGCCAUUGAUACUGAAAGUCUUGAGUUUGGUUGAAGUAGGCGGAAUGUAGCAUGUAGCGGUGAAAUGCUUAGAUAUGCUACAGAACACCGAUCGCGAAGGCAGCUUACUAAACCAAUACUGACGCUCAGGCACGAAAGCGUGGGGAGCGAACAGGAUUAGAUACCCUGGUAGUCCACGCCGUAAACUAUGAUCACUCGUUGUUGGCGAUACACAGUCAGCGACCAAGCGAAAGCGAUAAGUGAUCCACCUGGGGAGUACGAUCGCAAGGUUGAAACUCAAAGGAAUUGACGGGGGCCCCGCACAAGCGGU
rnacentral:rRNA from 1 species